AGCCUGGUGGCUCAGUUGUUCAGAGCAUUGUCCCGUACACCCAAAAGGUUGUGGGUUCAAUUCCCAGUCAGGUCA
rfam:Myotis davidii contig29512, whole genome shotgun sequence.